rnacentral:misc_RNA from 1 species
GCUUAUACAAGAAAGUAGCUCAAAACUCACUCUAGCAGAUCAAAUAAAACCGACCAAAAGUUACAUGUUAUGCUGCCUAAGUAGGUUUCCGCAUAUUGCGGCCAGCACGGAUUACCUCAUCCACCAACAGCAACUGCGACGCAAUUACAGGCCCAGAAUUGAUAAUUUGGCGUUUCACUGAGUAGUUGUCAAAGAUACCCUCCAUUUGGGGGUCAAUCGGUUCUCCCGUAUGCUGGUUUAGCCCUACAAUAUUGCCCCGGUCAUGCGCCCCCUUAAGAGCAAUGAGCACAUCCUGUGUAUCGAGCCCAGAGUUCUCAGCAAGUGUCU